GUGGGGAAUUUUGGACAAUGGGCGCAAGCCUGAUCCAGCAAUGCCGCGUGCAGGAAGAAGGCCUUCGGGUUGUAAACUGCUUUUGUACGGAACGAAACGGUCCGGGUUAAUACCCUGGGCUAAUGACGGUACCGUAAGAAUAAGCACCGGCUAACUACGUGCCAGCAGCCGCGGUAAUACGUAGGGUGCAAGCGUUAAUCGGAAUUACUGGGCGUAAAGCGUGCGCAGGCGGUUUUGUAAGAGAAGCGUGAAAUCCCCGGGCUCAACCUGGGAAUUGCGCUUGUGACUGCAAGGCUGGAGUGCGGCAGAGGGGGAUGGAAUUCCGCGUGUAGCAGUGAAAUGCGUAGAUAUGCGGAGGAACACCGAUGGCGAAGGCAAUCCCCUGGGCCUGCACUGACGCUCAUGCACGAAAGCGUGGGGAGCAAACAGGAUUAGAAACCCCGGUAGUCC
rnacentral:rRNA from 1 species